rnacentral:rRNA from 1 species
UGGGGAAUUUUGGACAAUGGGCGCAAGCCUGAUCCAGCCAUGCCGCGUGCAGGAUGAAGGCCUUCGGGUUGUAAACUGCUUUUGUACGGAACAAAAAGGUGCCUUCUAAUAAAGGGCGCUCAUGACGGUACCGUAAGAAUAAGCACCGGCUAACUACGUGCCAGCAGCCGCGGUAAUACGUAGGGUGCAAGCGUUAAUCGGAAUUACUGGGCGUAAAGCGUGCGCAGGCGGUUUUGUAAGACAGAGGUGAAAUCCCCGGGCUCAACCUGGGAACUGCCUUUGUGACUGCAAAUCUGGAGUGCGGCAGAGGGGGAUGGAAUUCCGCGUGUAGCAGUGAAAUGCGUAGAUAUGCGGAGGAACACCGAUGGCGAAGGCAAUCCCCUGGGCCUGCACUGACGCUCAUGCACGAAAGCGUGGGGAGCAAACA